AGCCCGAAGGCAGCAUGAAAGCGGGCAGGCGCGGCUAUCCCGCCCGCUCCUGUGUAGGAUGGCUUUUGGCGAAGUGCUGCUGCUGCUGCUCCUGCAAAGUCUUUCUUGGGCUUGGAUAGGAGCAAAAUGCUUUGAAAACAUCUGUUUCUCACAGUUCAGAAAUCUCUGAAUGGUGAUGUGGGAAGGUCUGGUGAAGCUGGCUGAGCUGAAACGUUAAGAGAGAUGUGGGAAAGCCACGGCAGCUAGAGCGCCUUGUAAAAAUAAAAUAAAAAUCUGGGGUUUACAAGGAACAGUGCAGCUCAGAUGCAUUGACUGAAGAUUUCCCAGCCUGCAGUCUUUAUGCUGUGAUAUGGCUCUUGAACUCGUUCUGGAUAAUGUGAGGUUUUUUAAGAUCUGUGUGUGGUAUUUCAGUGUUUCCUGUUCACUGAAUGGCCAAGCAAAAAUGUCCCAAACAAAACUUGCCUUUUCUUUUGUUUUGGGUCCUUUUUUUAAAACAAAAGCUUUUAAAUGCAGUUUUUUGGUAAUUGUGCAACCCACUCAUACAUCCCCAGAUAAAGAUGACUUUGAGGAUUGGUGGGCUUACUAAUUUCUUGAGGCACACAUUUGCAGUGCAGGAGCCCUGUUUACCCAGUUAUUGAACUAGAGUCACGCUUCUGUGGUGACAGCAGCAAACUAGUUGGCGAUGAAGUUUGCCAUGAUUUCAUAAGACAUUGAUCUUUUUCAGCCUCGGGAGAACACACUACUUCAUGCCAAAGAAGUGACUCGAGGUCAAUGCACAAAACCCCGCUGUUUUGCAGCCUUUAAGAAGGAACAUGUAACCCGGUUGUAGGGGUAGGGCUGCUAACAGAAAGGUUGUGGUUCUAAAUUACUGUGAAAGCCAAGACUCUCGGACAGCCUGUGCUUUAAUGUGUUGGCCCAUGCAGCAGGUUGGAGCAGUAUUCAAGCUCUCUGACAGGGCUCUGGUCUUUAAAAUGUUGAUUCUAACAGAUCUAAAUCUCCCUGCUGCCUGUCCUGCCUGCAAACGUCUCUAGAAGGGGGAAGGGGAAACAGCUGGCUCUUCUCUCUCCUUUUGAAACGUUAACUGUGUUUGCACUUCUAGUUUACCGGGUUAGUAACAAAAGGUGUUUGUGAUACCGAUUGCUUUACUUCUUUCUUGUCUUUGGUAGUGAACUUUGGGCAAAAAGUUGUAAAAGGCUAUCUGUUAUGCUGUAUUUAUUAAAGAAAACCAGAGGUAGUCAGAUGGUGGACAUAGUCCCUGGAUAUAAGCAAGUACCAAACCUGACAUUUGAUGAGGGAUUUGGGUGCCCCAGACUACAGCAUCAGUGUGCUGUCAUUGGUAGCUUCUGCCAUUAAGCUUGGAGAUUCUUUAAUGCGGCAACCAGACCUUUGAAGCUCUGACUUCAUGUAUUCUGCAUUGUCAGUGAUGAUCUUUGCUUCUGGGGGGACACUGUUCAUCACAGCGCUUCUUGCUGAUCUUAGACUUGCAGUACAAAUAGGUGACUGCAUUUAAGAUGGAUGUGAAGCACCUUGGAGCCGUUCUCACUGCUGCCCCAUAAAUGACCUUCCCUUUGCCUUUGGAAAUGGCAGCUCUGCUUUUUCCUGGUGACAGAAGGCUGAUGUAUCUUGAUCUUUUGCAACAACUGAGUAGGUUUUGUUGCACCAAUAAGAACUGUGCAGUGAGAGACAUUGAGAAGACGAGCAUGCAGUCUGUGCUCAAACAGAGGUUGUGUCAGUACAAGCUGUGUCAAUGCUUUUUGUGCCGUCUAGCUUGGAAGUGAUGUGGACACUUGAACUCCUAAAUAGCAACAAUAAUGCAGAGCUGAAAAAAAACAAACCCCAGGUCCCCAAUGUAUCACGAAAUAGGUAAAUUUCGUGUAACUGGGCAUUUCUCUGAAGGAUUUUGACAGAUAACUCAUACUACUCUUUUGCAGCAAUCUUAUCCUGUCUUUUGCAGCAAUAGAGACCUUGAUACUGCUUUCUUGCUUGUUUCUCUUGGUGAGUUUCUGAUCUUGUCAGCUUUGCCCAUGUACAAAGCUACUGGGAUCCAUCCAGAGAAACCAACUGACACUUAGUACCAUUUGCAGUUUUGCUCCAACUCUGAUAGUCCCCUGCAUGGACUAAAUAAGGACUACUUGUCUGUUCUGAAAUACGGAAAAAUAUGAAUCCUAAUAUAGGAGUGCCUCAGAGCAAGAGUCUGUCACUUGCUUUCAGCCAUAAAAAGGGGUAGUUAAGAGCAGUAGACUUGCACAGCCUUCAGGCUAAUGGCCUUGAUCAGCCAAGAGUGGGCAAGCAAGGCUUUUUGCUGUAUCUCCUAAAUGCACAAAUGCAAAGUGACCUAGUGUAAUGGGAUACUUCUUAGUACUGCAAAACUGGCCCCGAAAGCAG